GCAAGCCGCUAUAAAAGUGGCCUCUUACCAAGCAAAGACAGCAAAACAUUUUAAUCGCAAAGUCAAGGCUCGGAGGUUCAGAGCUGGCGAUUUGGUCUUGAGGAGGGCCGAAGCAGCAGGCCACCCCCCAGGGAAGCUCGGGCCCGUCUGGGAAGGGCCCUUUGAGGUCAUACGGCAGGUUCGCAAAGGAGCAUACAGCCUAAGAGACACUUCGGGUAGACCUCUUCCGAGGCCCUGGAAUGCCGACAAUCUGAAAAUAUAUUACAAGUAAAAUUCCCGACGCCUUUGAGGAGAUUUUCUUUUUUUUUUCCCAGUUUAGCGGGCCUGCGUGCCCAUGCAUGUUUUCCGUUCUCUUUUGUAAUGAACUACGUUCGACUUGAUCCCGUUUGGGUACGUAGGCAGCUUGGAUGCGAUAUAAAUCCAAGUCCAGUCCAAACAAUUAAUAAAUCCAAACAUCGGGUAUAACAGCCCCCGCCAAGCCUUGUCCUUGACAAGCCAAUUCAAGCCUUGUCCUUGACAAGCCAAUUCAAGCCUUGUCCUUGACAAGCCAAUUCAAGCCUUGCCCCCGAGCAAGCCAAUUUAAGCCUUGCCCUCGAGCAAGCCAAUUUAAGCCUUGCCCCCGAGCAAGCCCCUUCAAGCCUUGUCUUUGGCAAGCCAAUUUAAGCCUUGCCCCAGGCAAGCACAUCAAAAAACCUUGCCUCAAGCAAGCACCAAAGCCUUGCCCUACGCAAGCACAAAAGGGCUUGAUCAUAUGCUCAAGUGUAAACCAUUAAAGUGUCGCCCGGGGACAUACAAAAAUCCCACAUUAUUUUGGACAGUCCUCGAGGAUGUCACAUUACAACUUUUUGAAGUUAGUGUGCUCGAGGAUUACAGUCCUCGAGGAUGUCACAUUACAACUUUUUGAAGUUAGUGUGCUCGAGGAUUACAGUCCUCGAGGAUGUCACAUUACAACUUUUUGAGUUAGUGUGCUCGAGGAUUACAGUCCUCGAGGAUGUCACAUUACAACUUUUUUGAAGUUAGUGUGCUCGAGGAUUACAGUCCUCGAGCAUGUCACAUUACAACUUUUUUGAAGUUUGCGUGCUCGAGGAUUACAGUCCUCGAGGAUGUCACAUUACAACUUUUUGAAGUUAGUGUGCUCGAGGAUUACAGUCCUCGAGGAUGUCACAUUACAACUUUUUUGAAGUUAGUGUGCUCGAGGAUUACAGUCCUCGAGGAUGUCACAUUACAACUUUUUUGAAGUUUGCGUGCUCGAGGAUUACAGUCCUCGAGAAUGUCACUCAAUUUUUAAAGUUUGGUUGUGCUCGGGACUACGGUCCUCAAGAAUGUCACAUCAUCAUAUUUUUAUUGUUGCUCGAGAAUGUACGUCUCACCUAAAAUCCCUUAAAUACGCUCGAGUUGUGGAAUCCUCGAGUAAACACUUCAAUAUCGCGCGAGCAGUAAAGUUUCGAAUUUGAUUGCUCGAUUGUAUGGAGUCCAAGAGGUCGAGAUAAAUAGUUCGAAUAAAUUAACUAAACAUACAUAGUCCUCGACCAAUCUACAUUGUCAAAAUUAAACAAAAAAUUACAAAGGAUCGGGGUGGGGAAGUCAUCCAAUGUGGCCGAGAGGAGGAUCGAGGUUGCUGAUAUCGAUCUCAACGUCGUCCUCAGGACCUUCCUCAUCAUCUCCACCCGAUCCUCCUCCAUCUUCCGAACCCGAGAGCUCCAAUGUAUCAGCAAUGGAAGGCACCGUCUUCAGGUCGUCUGGAGUGAUGUCGGGCAACUUCUGCCUGAGGAAGGCCCGGGCUUCUUUCAGGGCAUGGAAGUACGCUCCCGACGCAUACUCCCCUUUUAUCCUGUCGCAGUCCUCGGAGGUUUUAAACUCCUCCCAAGCCCUCUCCCUUACAGCCUCGAGCUCGCGCCCGAAAUCCUCUGUCUUCUGGAUGAGCUCGAGCCUCGCGCCCUCGACCUCAUCCUUUGCUGCAACCAAGUCAUCCCUGGCCUUCGCAGCCUCCCUCCUUGCGUCAUCACGCUCCUUCAGUAAAACCUCGACCUGGGCCUCGAGGUCUUGAAUCCUGCUAUCCUUAGAGGCCAGAGACGUCUCGACCCCAGCUGCCCUCUUGGCCUCCUCGAGCCCUUGCAGAGAGAGUCCUCGAGCUAUACUCAACAUCUGGAAAAAAUGAAGAAAAUGUCAAGUGUUAAGCUCGACCAAUAAACUCGAGGUUAAAGUCAAAAGUUCGAAGAUUACCUUCACUGUAAGACCCUCGAGGACCUUCAUCCCAUCCUCGAG
rnacentral:lncRNA from 1 species